CUGGCAUGCAGCGUGCGCUCCGGGACGGCGGCUAUUUUUAUUAUUAAUUAAGGAGUAACGAAGGUGACAGCUGUGUAAACUGUAAAGCGCGACUGGGGACUGAACGGGUAUUAUUAGCACCGCCCCCGCUCCGGCUACUCCCUCCAAAUCAACAAACUUGCGCUUCCGUGGGCCAGGAGGCAGAAGCAAAUGGAACUCUACCUAGUUGUAAGCCAGCUUCCUUGGUCUAGACUUCCAGCCCAUCCAAGACUACAUAAGAGAUGUGGCCUCAAAGAAAGAAAGGAGAACGAGUUGGAGAAAAGCUGUCACGACCCUCCAAAAUCAAUAUAUUUACAGCUUCCUGAGAGGACGGCGAUGCUAAAGACUGUGUCAUUGGGGUGAGAUGGCUUAACAGGUAAAGGCGCUUUUGCCAAGUUUGAAGACUUUGAGUUGAACCCCAGGGACCCAUGUGGUGGAAGGAGAGAGCUCCUGCAUGUUGUCCUCUGACUUCCACACCUGUGCCAAGUCAUCCAUGCAGCCCACACACCUAGGCACACACUCAGAAUAAACACAAAUACAAUUUAGCCGAA
rnacentral:lncRNA from 1 species